rnacentral:piRNA from 1 species
CCGCAUGGACCUUCGGUGGACACACUUCCC